GAUGAACGCUGGCGGCGUGCCUAAUACAUGCAAGUCGAGCGAACGGACGAGAAGCUUGCUUUUCUGAUGUUAGAGGCGGACGGGUGAGUAACACGUGGAUAACCUACCUAUAAGACUGGGAUAACUUCGGGAAACCGGAGCUAAUACCGGAUAAUAUUUUGAACCGCAUGGUUCAAAAGUGAAAGACGGUCUUGCUGUCACUUAUAGAUGGAUCCGCGCUGCAUUAGCUAGUUGGUAAGGUAACGGCUUACCAAGGCAACGAUGCAUAGCCGACCUGAGAGGGUGAUCGGCCACACUGGAACUGAGACACGGUCCAGACUCCUACGGGAGGCAGCAGUAGGGAAUCGUCCGCAAUGGGCGAAAGCCUGACGGAGCAACGCCGCGUGAGUGAUGAAGGUCUUCGGAUCGUAAAACUCUGUUAUUAGGGAAGAACAUAUGUGUAAGUAACUGUGCACAUCUUGACGGUACCUAAUCAGAAAGCCACGGCUAACUACGUG
rnacentral:rRNA from 1 species